rnacentral:rRNA from 1 species
GACGAACGCUGGCGGCGUGCUUAACACAUGCGAGUCGAACGGUGAGGCUCCAGCUUGCUGGAGUGGAUCAGUGGCGAACGGGUGAGUAACACGUGAGCAACCUGCCCCUGACUCUGGAAUAAGCGCUGGAAACGGCGUCUAAUACUGGAUACGAGAAGGGUCCGCAUGGGCACUUUCUGGAAAGUUUUUCGGUUGGGGAUGGGCUCGCGGCCUAUCAGCUUGUUGGUGAGGUAAUGGCUCACCAAGGCGACGACGGGUAGCCGGCCUGAGAGGGCGACCGGCCACACUGGGACUGAGACACGGCCCAGACUCCUACGGGAGGCAGCAGUGGGGAAUAUUGCACAAUGGGCGAAAGCCUGAUGCAGCGACGCCGCGUGAGGGAUGACGGCCUUCGGGUUGUAAACCUCUUUCAGCAGGGAAGAAGCGAAAGUGACGGUACCUGCAGAAGAAGCACCGGCUAACUACGUG